rnacentral:rRNA from 1 species
AUACGUAGGGGGCGAGCGUUGUCCGGAUUUACUGGGCGUAAAGGGUGAGUAGGCGGUAGUAUGUGUCAGAUGUAAAAGGCUAAGGCUUAACCAUAGUUAGCAUUUGAAACUGUAUUACUUGAGUGCAGGAGAGGUAAGUGGAAUUCCUAGCGUAGCGGUGAAAUGCGUAGAUAUUAGGAGGAACACCAGUGGCGAAGGCGACUUACUGGACUGUAACUGACGCUGAGUCACGAAAGCGUGGGUAGCAAACAGGAUUAGAUACCCUGGUAGUCCACGCUGUAAACGAUGAGUGCUAGGUGUUGGCCAGCGAUGGUCAGUGCCGAAGUAAACACAAUAAGCACUCCGCCUGGGGAGUACGGUCGCAAGACUGAA